AACGUAGGUCCCGAGCGUUAUCCGGAUUUACUGGGCGUAAAGCGUGUUCAGGCGGUCUAGCAAGUCGGGCAUGAAAUCUCUCGGCUCAACCGGGAGGGGUUGUCCGAUACUGCUGGGCUUGAGGGCAGCAGAGGGUGGUGGAAUUCCGGGUGUAGUGGUGAAAUGCGUAGAUAUCCGGAGGAACACCGGUGGCGAAGGCGGCUUCCUGGACCGACACUGACGCUGAGGCGCGAAAGCUAGGGGAGCAAACGGG
rnacentral:rRNA from 1 species